GUCUACAAUAAGUGUUUCACUUAUAUGCUGUCUUUCCCUCUAAACAGAAGAACUUUAUAUGAUUUAGAGCGAGUGUCUAUGCAGAGAUUAUCUGAAUCUGCAGCGUUUUUAUUUAACCAAUCUUUAUUUUUUAUUACAGGAGCUGGCUUUACACAACCAGAAGUUUAAAAGCUCUACAAGGACUGUGGAUCACUUUUUGGACUGACUGAACAGGUCAGAAAACUGUAAGAAACUGGAGACCCUGAGCUGCUGCUACUUGGCAGUUCUACAACAAUGGCAGAGUGUAUGCCAAAUGCCGACCCCACUACGGUGAUCCAGAAUCCAGAAACAGACAUGCAGGAUUUGAGCAAAGUUCCGGCUGAUUGUGCACCAGCAGCAGUGGUUAAAGCAAGACCUGCAGACCUGGGGCUGAUUCGAAGCUUGUCCAAGUCGGACUCUGACUUGUUGGCGUCGCCACACGGAGAUGAGGAUGGAGGUUUGGCUGGCCGCAGUGGAUCUGUGUCUAACUGCAGUUCUUUUCAGCCGUCCAUGGAUCGCAUGGCUUCUUUUGCCUCUGAGUGGGAUGAGAUUGAGAAGAUCAUGACGUUGAUUGGGGCAGGGAUUGAAACAUCCAAAGACAAACAACCCAUAUCAAGCUCAGAUGGGGCCUGUGGUAAAGCCCUGGACCAGCCGGUGGGAGAGUGGCUGGAGCACGUGGGGCUGCCGCAGUACGAAAGCAAGUUCCUGCUCAAUGGCUUUGACGACCUACGAUUCAUGGGAAGUAACGUGAUGGAGGACCAAGAUCUCAGAGACAUGGGGAUUACUGACCCAGGACACAGAAAGAAAAUCCUCCAUGCAGCACGCAGCUUGCCCAAGGUUAAAGCACUGGGCUGUGAUGGCAGCACAUCUCUCGCCUCCUGGCUGGACGGCCUUGGCCUGCAUGAAUAUCUCCCCAAUUUUCUUUCAAAUGGCUACCGCACACUGGAGUGUGUUAAGAAUCUGUGGGAGCUGGAGAUUGUCAAUGUUAUUAAGAUUGGUCCUCUGGGCCACAGAAAGAGGAUUAUUGCAUCUCUAGCAGAGAGACCCUAUGAAGAGGCUCCUUCUAAGUCCCGUCGCCUUUCUCCAAUUAUGUUUCAUGACCUCCUGUCCCAGACCACAUCUCCCCUCAGUCAGAUGGACCCCUACACCAGCCGCUCCAUGGACACACUCCUCCCUCUGCCUGACUCGGACCGAAGGCGGAGAGGAAUUGACCAGGACUGCAGCAUAUCUUUGCGGUCUUAUAAUGAGAGGCCACGCUCUGUAGACAGACACAGCGAACGACACAAAGAGUCCCGUUUAAACCUCCGGCCACCGAACCACUCUGCCACGUACGCCACAGUGUCCGCCUGGCAUCACCAGCCUGAGAAGCUCAUCCUGGACUCGUGUGGGUACGAGGCAACAUACCUAGGAUCAAUGAUAAUCAGGGAUCUAAGAGGGAUCGAGUCCACACAAGAUGCCUGUGCUAAGAUUAGAAAAUCAAAGGACUCAAAAAAGGGUCCAGUUGUCAUACUUUCCAUUACCUAUAAAGGGGUCAAGUUCAUUGAUGCAGCCACAAAGACUAUAGUUGCAGAGCAUGAGAUCAGGAACAUCUCAUGUGCUGCUCAAGACCCAGAUGACCUCUGCACAUUUGCAUACAUCACCAAGGAUCUGAAGAGCGGCCACCACUUCUGUCAUGUCUUCAGCACUGUGGAAGUGACACAGACCUACGAGAUCAUCUUAACACUGGGACAGGCAUUUGAGGUGGCUUAUCAGAUGGCAGUUCAGUCCAGAGCGAGACAGUAUGUGCCCCCGUCAUCUCUGGGCUCAGAGUACAUCGAAACCAAAACCAGCCGUCCAGUGUCUCAGUCAUGGAGCAGCAUGCGAAGAUCAGCGGGUGCCCCUCUGCUCGAAUGCCGCUGCUGUCACUGUCACACGUGUACUACCCACCGUCCUUCCUUCCUCCCGUUGCACUCUGUUAGCCCUGGAAUCCAGAUCGACCCCCUGGAGAUGGAUGCAGACAUGCAGUCCCUGGGCAGCACCACCUGGCUCUGUGACCAGCGGGACUACAGCAGGCGUCCCGUCAGCACCAAGUACGAGACCACCAUAUUCUGAGACUGGAUUCCGACAGCUGCCCUUACUGCCCCCCCUUGUACUUUCCUCUCCCCUCACAACCGGUUCUCCUGUAACCUCUUUCUCUCACUGACACACACACACAUACACACACACACACUCACACACACAUACAUGUGAGCCCCGUGCCUUCUCACUGUGAUGGUAUAGCAUCCCUCAGGGCUGCCUACUCCUUCACCCUCCUUUGCCCUGCCCAGCGACCCACACCAACCUCCUGCCUGCCAUGACAAACACUCCUGUGGCUCUCCUGAGCCUCCCCAACUCCCCUGGCAGCCUUCCUUGCCUGUUGCUGCUGCAGCCAAUGGCGGAGCCCUGGAACAGAUGAUCCUGGACUGAUCUCAUUUUACCGUGGCCCUGCUCUCUCAACCAAACUGCCUCUUCCUCCUCAUCCUCCUCUUCCUGACAACUUGCAUCUGCCUCCAAAUCCCAGAUAACUCCCAGAGCCUGUCCUGUCUUACCAGACAUCUACCACUGUGAGGCACUAUGAGGAGGCUGCUUUGCUAGCAUGGGAUGCAAGAUGGACAAUUAUUCAAUGAAAGACAAAACAGCAACAUGCAGCAAACAACAUGUGUAUUUUUUUCUACUCAUUUGUACAGAACUCAUAGUAAGACUACGAUGAAGCAGUCAAAAAAAAAAAAAAAAUCUAUCACUGAUGUCUGAGCUCAAAGCAGACCAAGAACUGAAACCUCGUACAUGUAUACACUGGAGGACGAACUUCCUACACUUUUACUGUGGACAACAGCCUUACGUCAUUGCGGUUACCUAUAAUCAACUAUAAUCCCACCUUCCUUCCUCUGCCCUUCUGAACACCACCACCCACCAACUGCAUGCCCCCAACCCGUUUCUGAAAGACUAAAAAGAAAAACACCAACAAAAAAAUAAGAGAGCACUUCUGAUUUUCUGGUGUACUGACUAGACUGUGACUGGCUGGAGGGCUGUUGGUUGAAUAAUGGUACAGGUUUGUCAGGAUGAGUCUUUGCUCUGGCCUUGUACUGCCCAGUGCCUGUCAGCAUUAACGGUAGCGCUGAGAGCCUGCAAAUCACAAAAUAUUCUGCUUAUCUAUGAAAAAACAAACAGCACUGUGUUAAAGAGAGCACCAUCCCUUUUAAAAUCUUGUUUUCUAACAGUGCGAGGGGAUAUUGGUGCAUUUUGUGAUACUUUUUGAUAGACUGGGGCUAACUGAAACACUCAUGAAGAAUCCCUUCAUUAAUUAUUAAAACCAGGGUGACAAAACAAACCAAGAGUACACCCCCCCACCCCACCCCCACCACCUACCCCCUACCCCCCAAAAAAAGAAAAAAAGUGAGCUUUAUUGAGUGUUCUGACAUCGGUUGUUCAUUUCACUUAUUUUUGUAUCCCACACAUGAACAUUAAUGUGUAUUAACAACCCCCCCAGCACAAUUUGGUGCACAUUUUCCUACAUAGCAUCUUAUUAUCAUGAUUACAUGGGUAGGUAUUUAUUUCACACCAAUUUAGAAUUAGGUACAGUACAUGCAAAGUGUGUCACUUGAAAAUGAACAGCAGUGAAAAGAUCUAAUUCCACUGCACUGAAAGAGCCAAAUCUAAAUGUUGUUCUGGUGCCGUGUUAAUGCGGAUGGAUUUGUUAUGCUGCGAACAUGACACGCUUUUCUUUUUUUUUUUUUUUUUUUUUUUUGGAAAAGAAAAAAAAAUUCCUCUUGCACUGUGAUUCAAAAAAUGCUUGUUGUGGAGUCGACACAUAUCUGGGUUCUCCCCAUGUGCACUACCUUCCUACCACUGUGCGUGCUGUAUGCUUUGUUUCUGUCUUGAUGGAAGUUACAUCACUGGCCACUGUCCUUGUCCCUGUGCUGCUGGAGAAGUGAGGGACGAACUCCUCUCCAAAGACAAGUGUGUCUGGAGUCUGACUGUUUAGCUGUUACUGCUCUGUGUGCAGUAUGGUGGCUGUGUCAUUGCCACUUUAUUCUGACUCUAUUAUAUGUUAGCUUCCACUGAUGAUGCAUGUUGGCAGUGUUUUUGUGUUUUUGUCCCCUCUGAUGCACUUGGUCUGAGCAGUCUUUGUAUGUACUGUAGCAGCGUCUCGUCUUCUAUCACUCAUCUGCCAUUUGCUCUUUAUGUUCCCUCUUUCCGUUUACACGCUUAACACAGCGAUUCAUCUUCAUCCCUCCAUUUUGUCAUUGUCCUCACUCCCAACAUUUUCACGUAUGUUCCUCCAUUUUGUGUGUCGCCAGGACAACCUGCUCCAGUAUGAAUGCAAUAUAUGAAAGCAUUACACUUUAAUGAGCAGCAGCUAUUUAAAGCAAGUUUUUGGUGGCAUGAUAUGGCUGUGCAUGUACCUGUCUUUUUAACAUUGGUGUUUUCCUUGUGUAGCUCACACCAGCGUUCAAGUUUCCGGAUACCAAGCUGUGAGUUGAAGGGGAGCAGUCCAUUCAAGUGUGUUUGCUUGUGUUGGGUUAGUGGGCCUAGCAGUGGAAAAAAUGGGGGAAAUAAAACAAACAAACAAAAAAAAAAAAGCAUUGAGAGAUAAACUUGAGAGGUAAGGCCCAAGCAACGUGCAGGGUCAACCGGCGUUUCUCUGACACUUCCUGUUCCUGCACUGCCCUGAUGAUGAAUCCCAACUCACAAACUAACGGUAACCUGUGGUCCCACAUUGACGGAUAAAUAGGACCUCUGUAUCACCCCUGCCCUGGAAAAGGUCAGUCUGACAGACCAAAUCUAUUUCCUGGUCUUCAUGUGACUUUUUUGAUUUUGUCAUGUAGGUACUGUCAUGUUUAGAGCACUGUAGCCCGUUAAUGAGCAUUUCUAUUGAUUCAGGUCUACUAAAGAUAGUAACAGCUGGAUUUAUUAAAGGGUAACAAGAUGUAGAGAAAAAAAGAAACUGUACCAGCAUACAAUGCUUUGCCCAUGUAUAUGGACAGAGUAUGGUUUGGAAAUGUAAUAAUGUUUUAAAUCUCAAAGCAAUAUUAUACUGAUGAAAUUAAAUAAUACAAAGAGUAAAACAAAAGAAAGAAAUCCCUCUCAAUUCUGUUGUCAGCAUUGAUUUUCUUUACAUGGCUGAGUUUUAGAAAGGAGACACAUUAAACCAGCUGUCUGAAAUCAAAGGUGACACACAACAACAUGGUAAUUAUGUACAAUUGUACUUUCUGUGUUUCCCUGCUGAAGAGAUAAGUGGGUGGUGCAACUUCUAAUCUAAACAAACGAUUAGCCCAGUUUGUGCCUCUCGUGUAUUUUAUUACUUGCAAGUCGCAGAACUGAGCAUCUGAGUGCCUGCUGAUCCUUAAAAAAAAACAUCAGUAACGCUGUCGAUCUUGUUUGCAUUUCUAGAAAACCCCCAAAACAAAUGGCAACUAAAACGAAUUUAAAUAUUAAAUGAUGAAAACAAUAAAUAAAAAAGAAUAUUUAUUUAGUCUGGUUUCCAAACAACAGCCCUUCUAAAAGAAAGAUGUAGCGAGAAAAGAAUGAUCCUUGCCUAAUUUAUACAUGACUCUAUGUGACUCUAAGAAUAAAAUAUUCAUGCUUACAUUCUGUUGUGCCAAUCAGAAAGUGUAAAAAGAUGUAUUUUGACUACCUAAAUCGGUAAAGUCAAGGUGUAACUAAGUAAACAGGUUAAAAAUCUCGACCCUGCAGCAGAAUAAAAUGUUUCUUUGAAGAUUCUGGAAAUCUUUUUUAAGACAUCAAAAGGGGCUUCUAGAAGACACGAAGGGAUUUUUAUUACUUCCUGAACUUUUAUUUUGCAGCUACAUAUAAUUUCUUAUUGGUCCUGCUCAGACUGUGUCAAAGUCACUCGAAGGUAAAGGAGCAUUGCCAGUGUUUUUGCAUGUUUUAGCCCUUUGUAAAAAUAUCAUGCCUCAAACUAACACGUCUUUAAAUGAUAGUACUGUUCUAGAAGUUUUCAUUUGGGCCUCAGAUUAGCACUAGUGAGUAUUUUAUUUAAACAUGAUACAAAAAUAUUCCAACUUGCUUGAGAAGCGUGAAGCCCGAUGCCUUUUUGUUAGGAUCACAAUAAAUUCUCACUGUAAAUUGCAGUUUUAGUUUGCAAUAUUGUAAUUACCUCACAAUGAUUGUUAUAAACAAAAGUAAACAUUAUCACAUCACAUUUUUUUUUAAUUAAUACUUUAAAAAGUAAUUUGAAUGUGUUGGUCAAAUUUGUCGCCAUCAGGCACAUUAGAAGACACUGGCAGGGGUCUUUAUCACUGCCUGUAAACCUGUAUUUACAAACCAAACUUGAAAAGAGUUGGGACAGUAUGUAAAAUGUGCCAGUCCAGCACCCAGACUCCUCAACCACAACGCCAUGCUGUUGCAAUGUGAUGCUGUGGUGCAAUCUGAAAGGCCUUCACAGAAAAAAAAAAAAGUUAUGAUGGGAACAAAUUUGGCUCUAGAACCUGUAAGAGAUUUCCUAUCCUAGCAGAGCUUCCUGGUUAAGUAAAGA